rnacentral:misc_RNA from 1 species
AUUUUUACUAUGUUUGAAUAUUUCUCUCCUAAGAUGGCUUUGAAAUUGCAAAUGGUUGAAGCUUUAUGUGGCCAUGGUUAUGUGAAAUUGCUCCAUUUCUCUGUAUCAUGUCUCUAUUGGCAUUGGAUUGCUUUGUAAUUGAUAAUAACCUUCAUUUUCUAGGCUUAUGAGCUAUUCUGGAAUAACCAAGGUUAUUAAAUAUUCACAAUACUUGUUGUCAGGUGAGGCGGAUGCCAUCCUUG